UACGGAGGGUGCAAGCGUUGUCCGGAUUUAUUGGGUUUAAAGGGUGCGUAGGCGGCCCGUUAAGUCAGUGGUGAAAGCCUCCAGCUCAACUGGAGAACUGCCAUUGAUACUGACGGGCUUGAGUACAGACGAGGUUGGCGGAAUUGAUUGUGUAGCGGUGAAAUGCAUAGAUACAAUCAAGAACACCGAUUGCGUAGGCAGCUAACUAGGCUGUAACUGACGCUGAGGCGCGAAAGCGUGGGGAGCGAACAGG
rnacentral:rRNA from 1 species